UACAGAGGCCACAAGCGUUAGACGGAAUCACUGGGCUUAAAGCGUGUGUAGGCGGGAUGGUAAGUACCUUGUGAAAUCCCACAGCUAAACUGUGGAAAUGCUUGGUAUACUGCCGUUCUUGAGUCACCUAGGGGCAGCUGGAACAGAUGGUGGAGCGGUGAAAUGCAUAGAUAUCAUCUGGAACGCCAAUGGUGCAGACAAGCUGCUGGGGGUGUACUGACGCUGAGGCACGAAAGCCAGGGGAGCAAACGGG
rnacentral:rRNA from 1 species